UGUGUUGCCAUUCCCGUGAAUUAAUUCAAAAUAUUUCUGUAAAGUUUGGUUGCAUUAAAAAAGGCUUUGUGUCACCCCCUUUUGCCUAUGAAUAUUAAACAAAAGUUUCCACAACCUAAGAAAUUGUUCAACAAUGUUGUGAGGGCUCCAUUCAAGGCAAAAGAAAUUUUUUUUCAAUGCGCCCAAACUAUAAAGAAAUGUUAUGAAUCUUAUAAGAAAUCAAUUGUGCUCAAUCGAAAAAAAUGAAAGAAAUUAUCCAUUACUUUAGCUGAUUUCCACGUGAGACAAAAGGAAAACAAAAAAGGGUGUGUUUCUAUUUAUGAGACGAAAGACAGUCAGCUGUCUUGACUCUUGUCAGCUGUAUGGGCUGGGUUGGCUGGUAUGUUGCCAGUUAAACUUAAAACUACAAGUAACGAAUAAAAAAGGGGAAAAGUGCACAAUAACAUGAACAAAUAAUUCUAAUUAAUUGCAGUUGAUUGAUUUUGAACUAAAAAAGGUGGCAUUUGUUAUUGAAUAAAAAUAGAAGCAUCACAAAAAAAUUAUAACUGGCAAUAAGUAUUAAGCCCAUAGCAGACAAGUUGGGCGAAAAGAUAAACUCGUGUGCAACUAUGCAUUUCAUUAAUACAAGCGGAAUUACAUAUGAGAUGUGACAAUUUCGUUUCAUUCACACUUGAAGCCUACUUCUUGUUCAGAUUUGACGAUUCAGGCCGAGGGAUCCAUCACUUCAAAAAUCUUCAUACAUCUUGUCCAGAUUGAGCCAAUUUGUCAACUUGUCCAUUAGGCCUAAAGCAAAAAAAUUUGCCUUGCACACUUGAAACCUAAAAGGAAGAUAUCUUUCGUCGAGUGCAGUUAUUUAUAUUUCUUUGGAAAAACGAUCAUGGCAGCACCCUUCGGAAAUGUUGACGCUGUCGUGAUAGCCCAAAAUGGAGAUUUGAUCUCAUUUAGACGCACCAAGUACUACAAGAAAUACAAGCACUGGGCUGUUUACAUUGGCGAUCGAAACACCAUUGGUGUUAGUAGUCCUGAGAACAAAUGGAGUACAAUCGAAAAGAAGGACGUUUCAGAACUGUGCAGUACGCCUCCAUGUCAAGGGCAUUGCUGUCGCGUCAAUAAUUUGGAAGAAGUUGCCCGCAGAAAACGUUUGGAAACUUACCCAAAUGACAUAAUUGUCCAAAGGGCGCUGGAACAUUAUAAAGAGCUCUUCAAGUAUAGUUUAAGAUUUCGUAAUUGUGAACAUUUUGCCACUUCUUGCCGAUACAGUGAAUCAUUUUCUACACAAGUUGAAAAAUAUUUGCCUUCCAACACGAAACGUUUACAAAGUGAUAAUGAAGUAGUAGAAACUGUAUCUAGACGCGCCGAGAGACGCGCAUUUCAGUUUGCUUCUACUGAAAACCCGAUACUUUCGUGAAAAACGUGAUCUGACGGAUCCAGACGGAAUGUGGACAAGCUUAAAAAUAUGUGUUCUUUUCUGUGUUAAGGUUUCCAUUUUUUUUUAAAUAAUUUUUAAAAAUUCCAAUUGCCAUAUUAAUCCGUAGGGAAUAGGCCGAUUUGCAUAUUUGUUCUGCUUUAUUUCAUAUAAAUGCAUUACUUUGUUGUUAGCUUCUUGCUUUUGGGUGCUUAUACGUUUUUAUAUAUUUGGUUUGUUUUUGAAUUUUUUUCUCUUGUUAAUAGAAAUGUUGUGGGCGUCUUUCGUUUGUUUUUAUUUCGCUAAUGUGCUACUGUGACGCUUGAAUCGACGUUUUUUAUAGUGUUUUAUGUUCGCAUUUCGAUGGCGACGAGUUGUUUCGUUCCCUUAUCAAUCAAUAGCCUGUCGUGUUGACUAGGCACGGGUUGACGGCGCUCGUUCUUGGCUACGUUUACAGUCAUUGGAACGUUCCAAGUCCUCGCUAGUUCAAUUCAUCCAUAUCUUCAUUCAUAGAAUUCGCCCCUAAAGAUGAAGGUUGCCCUUAGUGUCUUGGUGUGGAGACUGAAAAAAGCGUUGAGCGAUAUAUGCUGCUGGCGCUGCAAGUGGUGAAUUGUCGCAUUGCCAUUGGAAUGUUGUGACGGUUUCGUUUUUAAUUGGUUGUGGGCAUUGCAUAGGGCGGAACACAACACAGGUCGUGGAAUCUCAAGAGCC